UACGUAGGGUGCAAGCGUUGUUCGGAAUUACUGGGCGUAAAGCGCGCGCAGGCGGGCUUAUAAGUCGAUUGUGAAAUCCCAGGGCUCAACCCUGGAACUGCAUUCGAAACUGUAAGUCUUGAGUGCCUAAGAGGAUGGCGGAAUUGCCGGUGUAGUAGUGAAAUACGUAGAUAUCGGCAAGAACACCUGAGGCGAAGGCGGCUAUCUGGUGGUGCACUGACGCUGAGGCGCGAAAGCGUGGGGAGCAAACAGG
rnacentral:rRNA from 1 species